GGUUAGCUCAGUUGAUUAGAACGUGGUGCUGAUAAUGCAAAGGUCACAGGUUCAAUCCCCAUAUGGGCCA